AUUGAACGCUGGCGGCAUGCUUUACACAUGCAAGUCGAACGGUAACAGGGUGCUUGCACCGCUGACGAGUGGCGAACGGGUGAGUAAUGCGUCGGAACGUGCCGAGUAGUGGGGGAUAACGCAGCGAAAGUUGUGCUAAUACCGCAUACGUACUGAGGUAGAAAGUGGGGGACCUUCGGGCCUCACGCUAUUCGAGCGGCCGACGUCUGAUUAGCUAGUAGGUGAGGUAAGAGCUCACCUAGGCGACGAUCAGUAGCGGGUCUGAGAGGAUGAUCCGCCACACUGGGACUGAGGCACGGCCCAGACUCCUACGGGAGGCAGCAGUGGGGAAUUUUGGACAAUGGGCGCAAGCCUGAUCCAGCCAUGCCGCGUGUCUGAAGAAGGCCUUCGGGUUGUAAAGGACUUUUGUCAGGGAGGAAAUCCUAGUGGCUAAUAACUGCUGGGGAUGACAGUACCUGAAGAAUAAGCACCGGCUAACUACGUGCCAGCCGCCGCAGUAACAC
rnacentral:rRNA from 1 species